GACGAACGCUGGCGGCGCGCUUCAAACAUGCAAGUCGAACGUGAAGCCCGGAGCUUGCUCCGGGUGGAAAGUGGCGAACGGGUGAGGAACACGUGAGGAACCUGCCCCGAAGACCGGGAUAACUCCGGGAAACCGGAGCUAAUACCGGAGGCCCUCACCGGACCGCAUGAUCCGGUGAGGAAAUGGAUUCCGCUUCGGGAUGGUCUCGCGCACUAUCAGCUUGUUGGUGAGGUAACGGCUCACCAAGGCGACGACUGUUAGCUGGUCUGAGAGGAUGUCCAGCCACACUGGGACUGAGACACGGCCCAGACUCCUACGGGAGGCAGCAGUUAGGAAUCUUGCGCAAUGAGCGAAAGCUUGACGCAGCGACGCCGCGUGCGGGAUGAAGGCCCUCGGGUUGUAAACCGCUUUCAGCAGGGACGAAAUUGACGGUACCUGCAGAAGAAGCCCCGGCCAACUACGUGCCAGCAGCCGCAGUAA
rnacentral:rRNA from 1 species